CUCCGAAAUAUAUUUAGGUAUAGCGUUGUGUCGUAAUUAUAAGGGGUAGAGCACUGAAUGGGCUAGGGCAUAUACCAAUGUACCAAACCCUAUCAAACUCCGAAUACUUAUAAUGUAAUCACAGCAGUCAGGCGGCGAGUGAUAAAAUCCGUCGUCAAGAGGGGAACAACCCAGACUAACAGCUAAGGUCCCUAAAUCCCAUUUAAGUGGAAACGAUGUGGAGUUACUGA
rnacentral:rRNA from 1 species